CAAUACAUAUCUAGUAGUCUCAACGAUGCAGGAUGUAGCUGAGGCGGUUGCAGAGUGCUUCACUUCACACCUUUGAGACCCAAGCGUUGGUUUUGAAGUGCUGUUUUUGAUGUUCUUCAGCAGCUCUGCAUGAUGGGAGAGUGACAAAUCCAAAUCCAGCGUCCCAAACAUCUGCUCGUCAACCUGCGGGUGACAGUACACAAGCCAAUCAAAUCAUCCAUGGCAUUAUGAGUGAGGUCCAAUCUUCUGCACAGCGCUAGUCACGCAAUGCUGUGUGCGCAAACCUCCAGCAACUUUUCAACCCCUGCACACAAGAAAGCCAUCAAGUACCUGCAAUUGACAGAAUCGCGUGCAAUUCAGGUACUCCUGGACUGGACUGGAUCGCAGCCAAAAGGGCGAAGUAAAAAGUGGAAUGGAACGGUGCCAGGUCCUGUGUGAACAGGGAGUAAUGUAUGAGGAAGGAAAGUAUAAUAAAGACUGAUAUAACUUCUAUGUGAAUAUACUUUUUUAUUUAUUCAUGGUUUUUUUUCUUUGGCUUAGGUCAGAGUUUAUCAACUUUACUCCCUUAUCCCAGCUUUGUUGUCACUUAUAUCCUCUCUGCUGUGUUUUAGUCUUAAACGCUUCAUCAGAGUACUUCUUAAAUAUGAUGAAGUUAAAAAAAAACAGUCUAAUACACAACAAAAUCACAAAUAAUAGCAAACAUGUAUGCAAGCUUUGAGUCCACAGUCCACAGUGAGUGAGAAGAAAUGUCCAACUUUACUUAGCUUCAGCUUAUUGUAAGUAAGUGGGUUCUGUUCUGAUUUUGAUCUGUGCUCCAUUCCCGUGAAUCCAGGCCUUGUUUUGAAGCUUGAGAGCGUGAUCCAGGCAAUACAAGCAAGCCUGGAGGUGGUUAGGACAUGAAAGUGAGUUAACUCCACUUACCGUCAUGCAUUGCGCAACUACGUUUGGUGAAAACAGCAUGUGCUGAGGCGCUCCGCACAAACUAUGGCUCAGUGAAGCUGCGGCUCUUGACGAGAGCGCGUCGUGUCAGCAGAGACUCUGGCUGCAGCUGCCGCAGAGACCAUCAUUGCGCUGGACCUUGAGGAGGAAUCAGCAUCUUCGGAAAUAAUCGUUCUGAUUGAUUUGCUGGAUUUGCCUGGGCGUAAAUCGUUUAAUGCUGGGGCUCUUUGGACGCAUUAACGGGAUUAAUGGCGACAUUGACAAACGUGGAGAAGUUAUUAUUAUUAUUGUUUUGUUUUUUUGUUUAAACGUGAUCACGAUGACAGCAGCUGAUGGAUUGAAAACUCCAGCUAUGGAUCUUUUCGCGUGUUAUAAGGAAAUGGUGACUUCAGUCUGGGAUGAGUUUCUACUCCUGCCACAGAUUCAGCUGCUGGACAAGUCUCUUGGGAUAUUUGGGAUACACGCGUGGUCAAGUGCUGACAUUUUUAUAGAUGGUCAAUGUUAUAUGCUGAUUUCGAAAAUGAAAUCUGUAUUUGGUGGAUUUUUAUUUUUGCACAGUUGGAUAUCUUGGAUUAUAUUUUGGAAGCUGUGCUCCAGUGGAUGUCCAGUGAUUUGGAUAAUAUGUGCGCAUCUCCUGAUUCCGCAGUGAAGGAAUCCAAAUUCUCGAGAUGAGAGUUCAACCUUUAAUUGCAUCCUAGUGAUCUUCUGAUGAUCUCAGGUGAGCACCAAGAAGGGGCUGAGUAAUGGAAACAUGACCUCAAGAGAUUCAACAGGAUCAUACUAAAUCCCGGUUUGGACUGUUGGACCAGCAUCCUCUGAAGCAGAUGUUUGCUCCUGGCACGGCUGCCGACAACAUGAGCUCCAACACUGGCAAUCUAGCUCUCAGGAUUCAGUGAGCAGCGUGAGCUUGGAGAAGCUAUGACAUAAACGCAGCAGGACGGUGAAUCGCGUUUUGCUGCUCAGACAUCAUGGAACAGAUCAGUCAGCCCCAUCUGGAGAAGUGCUCUAUAGAAGAGUCAUAUAUUUGCCAUAGUUACUUUGAUGGAUACAGCAUAUUGUUUGACUUUAUUUUUCUAAUUGAUUUUAAUAGAAAUGAUCAUUUCCCUCCAUCUAUGUAUCUUCUCUUGUUUUUCAGAUUUUAAUUACAGUGUCGCUCAUUCAGUAACUUCAGCAUUUACUGUGUGAUUUUUGUCAUUUUUGUUCAUGUGACUGUUUUCAAAGUGGCUCUUAUAAAACUGCAGAAGAAAGUUUAUCCAGGGAGGAGCACAAAAAAUGUCUCCUACUGUGUAAAAAGACUUAAUGCACAUGUGAUUGAGAUUGAUCAGAGGAAUCACUCAGUCAGUGGAUCUGUGAUUUUCAUCUUCUUACUGCAGCGACAAAGAAGCCAUUGUCAUUAAUGUAAAACCAUGAUUUCUCCUUCUGACGCUGCAUUUUAUUGUGACACAUUGGCAGCUUCUGCUAAUUUCAGUUAAUAAUCCUUUUAAGCAGUUUAUUCUCAUUAUGAUUUAUGACUCCAUAGCUUUUGUUGUUUUUGUUAAGCCCUGUUAGCAGAAAUUAAAAGGUGUAUCCAA